GACGAACGCUGGCGGCGUGCUUAACACAUGCAAGUCGAACGAGAAUCUGUGGAAAGAGGAUUCGUCCAAUUGAAGCAGAGGACAGUGGCGGACGGGUGAGUAACGCGUGAGGAACCUGCCUUUCAGAGGGGGACAACAGUUGGAAACGACUGCUAAUACCGCAUGACAUAUAGAUGUCGCAUGGCAUUUAUAUCAAAGAUUUAUCGCUGAAAGAUGGCCUCGCGUCUGAUUAGCUAGUUGGUGAGGUAACGGCCCACCAAGGCGACGAUCAGUAGCCGGACUGAGAGGUUGAACGGCCACAUUGGGACUGAGAUACGGCCCAGACUCCUACGGGAGGCAGCAGUGGGGAAUAUUGGGCAAUGGGCGCAAGCCUGACCCAGCAACGCCGCGUGAAGGAAGAAGGCUUUCGGGUUGUAAACUUCUUUUGUCAGGGACGAGUAGA
rnacentral:rRNA from 1 species